rnacentral:rRNA from 1 species
AUUGAACGCUGGCGGUAUGCUUAACACAUGCAAGUCGAACGGCAGCACAGUAUGUAGCAAUACAUAUGGGUGGCGAGUGGCGGACGGGUGAGUAACGCGUAGGAAUCUACCCUAAAGCGGGGGACAACCCGAGGAAACUCGGGCUAAUACCGCAUAAUCUCGAAAGAGUAAAGCUGGGGCAACCUGGCCAUUGCGGAGGAGCCUGCGUCCGAUUAGCUAGUUGGUGAGGUAAAGGCUCACCAAGGCGAUGAUCGGUAGCUGGUCUGAGAGGAUGAUCAGCCACACUGGGACUGAGACACGGCCCAGACUCCUACGGGAGGCAGCAGUGGGGAAUAUUGGACAAUGGGGGCAACCCUGAUCCAGCAAUACCGCGUGUGUGAAGAAGGCCUUAGGGUUGUAAAGCACUUUAGUUGGGGAAGAAGGAUAGUUGUUUAAGAGAUGAUUAUUUUGACGGUACCCAAAGAAUAAGCACCGGCUAACUCUGUGCCAGCAGCCGCCGUAA